rnacentral:tRNA from 1 species
AGUCUUAUAUUCAAAUAUGAUUUUAAAUUGCAAAUUUAAAGGUAAAGUAAUUUUUAAGGCUU